GCUUGCUUUGGCAGCAUGUAUACUAAUUGGAAUGAAACAGAGAAGAUUAGCAUGGCCUCCGCACAAGGAUGAUAUGCAAAUUCAUGAAGCGUUUCAUAUUUUU
rnacentral:snRNA from 1 species